ensembl:lncRNA
AUGGCAAAGUUUUCUCCACCCGAAAGUUUUGACUUCAGUCAUCCCGAGCUCUGGCCUGAAUGGAAGCAGCGUUUUCACAGAUUCCGAAUAGCCACGAAGCUGGACAAAGAGUCGGGAGAAGUUAAAGUUUGUACGCUUUUAUAUUCUCUUGGGAAGGAGGCAGAACACAUCGUCAGUACAUUUGUGUAUGCAGCGGAUGGCGACGAGAAUAGGUACGACAUAGUUUUAGAAAAGUUGAACAAUUACUUUGUGCCUAAAGUCAAUGUGAUUCAUGAACGGGCGAGAUUUUAUCAGCGUGUUCAAAAGCAGGGUGAAAGCGUGGAAGAAUUCAUUCGUAGCUUACAUGAACUGGCUGAAACAUGCGCAUUUGGAGAAGCUAAAAGUGAAAAUAUAAGAGACAGACUGGUGAUUGGUGUUCUGGAUAAAGAGAUGUCCCAAAGAUUACAAAUGAUGUCUGACUUGUCGCUUGAGAGAGCAUGUAGGCACGCACGGCAAUCGGAACAGAUAAAAAGUCAUGUUUCCGAACAGACUAGCUCUUCAGCAUUGAAUGAAGUCGUACGGAGAAAGCACAGUGCAUCAUUUCGACCAAAAGGAGCUUUCAAGCCAGAAAGCAGAGAGAGAAAAUGGACACAGAGAACAAAUAGCCAGAAAAACACACGAUUAAAUGACCCAAUUGAGGGGAAAUGCAUGCGUUGUGGCAAACAACAUCCAAAGAGCGUCAACUGCCCAGCGAGAAUAGCAGAGUGUCGAAAGUGCGGUAAGAGAGGCCAUUAUGCUAUUGUGUGUCGUACUCUACAUGUUAGUGAUGUAAAUGUAGUGCAGGACGAGCACGAAGAUUCGUUUUUCCUUGGAGCAAUCACAGUAAAGGACUCAAGUGACGCAUGGUCCAUAACCUUGAGGAUUCAAGAUACGGACGUGGAGUUUAAGAUAGACACUGGCGCAGACAUUAGUGUUAUAUCGGAACAAACUUAUAAAGCUCUCAACACAAGGCCUAACUUAAUGUUCGUGAAUGCAGCGCUGGAUUGUCCAGGAGGGAAAUUAAGAAGUUCAGGAAGAUUUGAGACAAGCACGCACCACAAGGGAAACAAGUACUGCUUUACUGUUUUUGUCAUAACAGGUCAGUCUGUUAAUAAUUUGCUGAGUCGAGAAGUUUCUGCUGCCCUGGGGUUAGUUCAACGGAUUGACGACGUGAGUUCACCCGGUGAGUCGGUUGGACUUUUGAAAACCGCUCCUGUGAAAAUCAAGCUGAAAGCAGACGCAGUCCCAUAUGCCAUUACGACAGCCAGGAGAGUGUCGGUUCCCUUACUUUCUAAGGUGAAAGCUGAACUAGACAGAAUGGUGAAGUGUGGCGUGAUUGAAGAAAUUAAAGAGCCUACUGAAUGGUGUGCAUCGAUGGUGCCUGUGCCUAGGAAGAAUGGCCAGGUGAGAAUAUGUGUAGGCCUAAAUCGUUUAAACCAAGCAGUCGAA